GCAUAUCAAUAAGCGGAGGAAAAGAAACCAACCGGGAUUGCCUUAGUAACGGCGAGUGAAGCGGCAAAAGCUCAAAUUUGAAAUCUGGCACCUUCGGUGUCCGAGUUGUAAUUUGAAGAAGCUACUCUGGAGUUAGUCCCUGUCUAUGUUCCUUGGAACAGGACGUCAUAGAGGGUGAGAAUCCCGUCUGGCGGGGGUGCUAAUUCUUUGUAGAGUGCUUUCGACGAGUCGAGUUGUUUGGGAAUGCAGCUCUAAGUGGGUGGUAAAUUCCAUCUAAAGCUAAAUAUUGGCGAGAGACCGAUAGCGAACAAGUACAGUGAUGGAAAGAUGAAAAGAACUUUGAAAAGAGAGUGAAAAAGUGCGUGAAAUUGUUGAAAGGGAAGGGCAUUUGAUCAGACAUGGUGUUUUGCGGCCUAUACCCCUCGUGGGUGUGGUCACCGCAGCUCACUGGGCCAGCAUCAGUUUUGGUGGCAGCAGAAACCCUUAGGAAUGUGACUUCUUCUUCGGAGGAAGUGUUAUAGCCUAAGGUCAUACUGCCAACUGGGACUGAGGACUGCGGCUUCGGCCAAGGAUGCUGGCAUAAUGGUUAAAUGCCGCCCGUCUUGAAACACGGACCAAGGAGUCUAACGUCUAUGCAAGUGUUUGGGUGUAAAACCCGUACGCGUAAUGAAAGUGAACGUAGGUGAGGGCCUCUUUGAGGUGCAUCAUCGACCGAUCCUGAUGUCUUCGGAUGGAUUUGAGUAAGAGCAUAGCUGUUGGGACCCGAAAGAUGGUGAACUAUGCCUGAAUAGGGUGAAGCCAGAGGAAACUCUGGUGGAGGCUCGUAGCGGUUCUGACGUGCAAAUCGAUCGUCGAAUUUGGGGUAUAGGGGCGAAAGACUAAUCGAACCAUCUAGUAGCUGGUUCCUGCCGAAG
rnacentral:rRNA from 1 species